AUGUUUCCAUUGUUUGGUUCCGGAAUGACCUCCGUGUUCAUGAUAACGAGUCUCUCAACACAGCCAAUAACGAGUUACUCUCCGUUUUGCCGGUUUACUGUUUCGACCCUGCGGAUUACGGCGAGAGGGUCGGAUCUAGUGGUGAGAGUUGGGAAGCCAGAUGCUGUUUUGGUUGAAUUGGCUAAGGAAGUUGGGGCGGAUGCGGUUUAUGCUCACAGAGAGGUUUCUCAUGAGGAGGUGAAGAUGGAGGAGAAGAUUGACCUGUGA